ACAGUGACUCAAAGCAUUUGAUUGGGGAAAGAAUGUGACAGGAGCUGCCCAGGAACAAGAUAUACUCCCAAGGACAAGAUUCCAAGAACCUGACUCCAAAAGAAGAAAAGCUAUGAAUACCUUUAAAAUUAAUAAGGAUUCAGUUUGAAAAGGAGAAACCUCUUGAGAAAGAGAAAUGACAGCUCAUCCACAGAGAUAACAAUCAUACAUGUGUUUUCUGCAAGGAACAAUAAAUUUCCUGCAGUAAUCUCCUUCUUCAUGAAGUAUGCAUGAAGAAGAUGGAGCCCCACAACCAUGACUCCACCUGGUUGCUAUGACAUCACCAAUGCUGAGAAAAGGAUCCAAAACAAGCCCCAAAAUAAGUUCAUGCAUGAACCAAGAUCCUGCCCUUCAGAGGUCAGGGAACUCCACAGAAGAGGAGGCAGAAAGAAUAUAAGAGCCAGGGGUGCUAAAGGACACCCAGAACACAAGGCCCUCUACAGGAACAUGAACAAAGCUCACAUGAACUUACAAAGACUAAAGAAGCAUGGGCAAGACGUGCACAGGUCUACACCAGGUCCUCUGUGCAAACGCCUUCCAGGUGAACAGUCCAUGAGGCUUCAACCCUACACAAAGAACUACACAAGUAACUAAAGAAUGCUGAGAGCAAGAGAAAGUCUUCCCAGGGAAGAGCACACCAAUUGACUAUACAAUACCAUAUGGUGGUGGAACAGCGUAUGCCAUCUAUCAGUUAGCUGUGGCUGCAUUUCCCAAGAAGCAGAACUGACUUUGUCAUCCCAGGCUUCACAUGGUUCAAUUGCAUUCAGCACUUGAUGGAUCUGGAAUUUGAUGAGUAACUGAGCUCUUUGGGGAUCACUAUUUAUUGACGUGUACUAACUGUCAGCAAUAAAGCAGUCUUUACCAUGAGAAAGAAAGGAAGGAAGGAAGGAAGGAAGGAAGGAAGGAAGGAAGGAAGGAAGGAAGGAAGGAAGGAAGGAAGGAAGGAAGGGAGGAAGGAAAAGAGCUGACAUGAUUGUGGCUGGCAAUGCUGUCUUUUCUAUGCAAUAGAACCUACAAAUAUAAAUGCACUUACUAGAAUGACCUAAAGUCAUGAUCAAACUUAUUAGCAAUGUUUUUCAAUGGCAUUCUCUAAAUUUUCAAACAAUAAUUUUACAUGCAUUUACAAUAUAUAACAUAUAUUAGGUAGCUUUAGCACUGAAAUUAGUCUAUUGGUAAAACAGCUUGGAAGGAUAAACCAAACUGAUUCCCUCUCUAUUCGCCUACUCAAAUGUUGAGUAUGACAGUUUUUUUAAAGGAUAAAAUAAAAUUCUAAGUUUUGUUUUCACACCCAGAAGACUAAAAUGCCUCUGACCCCCUCCCAAUGUUUAUGAUACAAAAUCCUGGAAAGUUAUACACAGAUCCCUAAACAAAUGCAAUAACUUUAUUUUAGAUUAUCAAAAACUUAUUAAUUCUGAAAAUUAUCAACCAAGUAGUUAAAGCCAUUCAAGUGUAAGUGACCUACUAGGACAAAAAUUUUACUUUUGUAACUUUUAUUAACAUAUACUCAGCCUCAAGGGUUACACUUGAAAACUCUCUGAAACAAAUUUCUAUGGCAAUUUCCUUGUCUGUUUAUACCACAACAUUCCUGCAACCCUAGCCACUUUACAAAGGAAAAUUUGCUUUAAAACUGAUGGCUUCUAUUUGAAAGAGGCUCUAUUAACCCUUAAGUUUCAUCAAUCAUGAUAUCUUAGAUUAUCAUAUAUAUUGCAACUGUUACAUGCAUAAUGGAUUCUGCUUUGGAAUCUGCUGAGUCACAGAUUUCUGCUAAGGUCCACAAUCCCUAACACAAGAAAGGGUUGUUUAUAGGCUGGACUCUCUGACAACAAACUUGGGCAGACGAGAGGACUUCCACAGUAGCAUACACAGUGAGGACAUGAGGCAAACGUACCAAAUCCCAGCCUACAAAAAGCACCCCAACACUUACUAGCUUUCAAGAAACACAAGACACAUUUUCAAGGCAGAAAAGAUCAUACUGGUAAUGACUCUAUACUGUCAGUGCAAUUCAACUUAAUCUUGAACAAUUAAAAUACUAGGCUAAUACUUCAGAAUAACACUUAGGUCUGUUUUAAUAAAUUAUACAUGAAACAAACUGUGUAUAUUGUGUUGUUUUGCAAUACUUAGAACAUCUUUGAGGGGCUGAUGAGAUGGCUCAAUGGUUGAAAUGCCUGUUGGAGAUCAGAUCCCCAGAACCCACAUCAAAAUGAUAGGUGAGGCUGUAAUUCCGGCCUUGGAAAGCAGAAGCAGGGGAUCGGCAACAAGCUGAUUAGCAAGGCUAGCUGCAUCAGUGAGCUCUGGGUUUGCUUAGAAACCCUCUCUCAAAUUAUAAAGUGAAAGAGUAAUUGAGGAAGAUUCUUGACACCAACCUUAAGGCCUCUACAUGUACCCACACAAACACACACACACGAAGAAAAACAAACAUCUUUGAUAAUUCAACUGUGUUCAAAUUGGUACAUUUAUGCUGAACAUGGUGAACCAGUACUUAGAAUGCUCAGACAGGAAUAGUGCUGCAAGUUUGAGGCCAUCAUAGGCUACACAGUGAUACCAUUUCAAAAUACCAGUAACAGUGAAGAUGAUGUUUAAACAAACUGUCAAGAGUUUAAUUAAUGCAAUGCUGACAAAAAGUUUUAACUUUGAAACAGCUUAAAACAUGCCAAGUAUGUUUCAAGAAACCUGUUCUUGUUAUAAAAGUAACAAAUGAAAUAGAUUGAUAAUCCACAGCCUACUAUUAAUACUUUUCCUUGACUUUCUUUAUAGGUAAAGUUUGAACAUCUAUUUUUUUAUUAAGACAAUAAAUCUUUGUCACCUUGAUAAAAGAACAAAAAUGAACUUUCAAGUUCAGACAUAGGUUUGUUAACGUGAAAGUGGAGUGGAAUGGAUAAAAUAACUUUUGUUGGUCUUAAAGAAUGGGGGAGGGGACCAAUGAGAUGGCUCAGCAGUGAAGGCACUUGUUCACAAGCAUGGUGAUCAGAGUUCAACACCAGGAACACACAUAAAAGUGUAGGAGAGAACCAACUCCACAAAGGAAUCCUCUGACCUCCACAGAUGCACAUGCAUAUGUACACACACCCAAAUUAAAUAACUAAAAAAUUGAUAGGAAGGAAAUGUCUUCAAUACAUUCAAUGUAAAUAACCUAAAGUUUCAUGUAGAAAUAAAGAUGUUACAAAGAGAAAAGUAAUGGAUACUUAAAUAAUUUGUAGUCUAUAACUAUAAAAAUUGCUAAAAUGCAAAUACCCUUUUUGACUAUUACCUAUGAUGAAAUCAAAUUAGAAACGUAACUGGGAUAUCUCUUUGUGCAAAGAAAUUCAACUAAGCAUGUAAUAUGUCAAAGAAAAUACUCUGUAAAUUCCAACCGCAAGCAUAUAAAAAAGAAUAAGUAAAAGAUGUGUUUCAAUGAAAAUCUGUGAUAGUCUCAAUGUUUCUGGUUUUGUUUUGGUUUUGUUUGAAAUGCA